UACGUAGGGGGCGAGCGUUGUCCGGAUUCAUUGGGCGUAAAGAGCUCGUAGGCGGUUCAGUAAGUCGGGUGUGAAAUCUCCGUGCUCAACACGGAGCGGCCACCUGAUACUGCUGUGACUCGAGUCCGGUAGGGGAGUGUGGAAUUCCCGGUGUAGCGGUGAAAUGCGCAGAUAUCGGGAGGAACACCAGUAGCGAAGGCGGCACUCUGGGCCGUGACUGACGCUGAGGAGCGAAAGCGUGGGGAGCGAACAGG
rnacentral:rRNA from 1 species